GCUGGCUGGGACCAGAGCCCUCUGCCUGGCAGUGGACAAUGGAUCUCCUGCAGGUACCCUGGAAUACUCCCACUGGCUGUAAACAGGGUUCUGAUUUCCUCUGGGGGCUGGAAACACUCAUCUGGUACCACAGACCAGACCAGGCAGGGCCAGAAGGGACCCCCAGAGACCACCCAGUCCAUCUGCAAAGCUGGGAUCCCAAACCAGGGGCACACUCUGGGAUAAAUCCACCAGGAAAGCAAGGUGUGAUAUGGAAGAGAAGACAACGAGCCCUGCUGGUGGCUGCCCUGGCUGUGCAGGGAGUGACUGAGGCAGAGCCUGGAGCCCCCUGCCCUUCACUCCCCUGCUCCUGAACCCCUGUCAGAAACUUGUCCCUGGCCUGUGGUUGUUCCAUCUGUUUGCUCAGAGUUUUAGGGUUUGGGAUUGUUUAAAAAGCACAUUUGCUGUACCUCAGGGAACCCCUGUGAUGGGGAAGGAGCCCUGCAGGAGCCCACGA